UACGUAGGUGGCAAGCGUUGUCCGGAAUUAUUGGGCGUAAAGCGCGCGCAGGCGGCCUUUUAAGUCUGAUGUGAAAGCCCACGGCUCAACCGUGGAAGGUCAUUGGGAACUGGAAGGCUUGAGUACAGAAGAGGAAAGCGGAAUUCCACGUGUAGCGGUGAAAUGCGUAGAGAUGUGGAGGAACACCAGUGGCGAAGGCGGCUUUCUGGUCUGUAACUGACGCUGAGGCGCGAAAGCGUGGGGAGCAAACAGG
rnacentral:rRNA from 1 species